UAGGGAAUCUUCCACAAUGGACGAAAGUCUGAUGGAGCAACGCCGCGUGUGUGAUGAAGGGUUUCGGCUCGUAAAACACUGUUGUAAGAGAAGAAUGACAUUGAGAGUAACUGUUCAAUGCGUGACGGUAUCUUACCAGAAAGGAACGGCUAAAUACGUACCAG
rnacentral:rRNA from 1 species